CGUGUAGGUGGUUUAGCAAGUCAGAUGUGAAAGCCCUGGGCUCAACUCAGGAAGUGCAUUUGAAACUGCUAUUCUAGAGUAUGGGAGAGGAGAGUGGAAUUCCCAGUGUAGAGGUGAAAUUCGUAGAUAUUGGGAGGAACACCGGUGGCGAAGGCGACUCUCUGGACCAAUACUGACACUGAGACGCGAAAGCGUGGGGAGCAAACA
rnacentral:rRNA from 1 species